rnacentral:rRNA from 1 species
GAUGAACGCUGGCGGCGUGCUUAACACAUGCAAGUCGAACGAAGCACUUUAUUUGAUUUCCUUCGGGACUGAUUAUUUUGUGACUGAGUGGCGGACGGGUGAGUAACGCGUGGGUAACCUGCCUUGUACAGGGGGAUAACAGUUGGAAACGGCUGCUAAUACCGCAUAAGCGCACAGCAUCGCAUGAUGCAGUGUGAAAAACUCCGGUGGUAUAAGAUGGACCUGCGUUGGAUUAGCUAGUUGGUGAGGUAACCGCCCACCCAGGCGACGAUCCAUAGCCGACCUGAGAGGGUGACCCGCCACAUUUGGACUGAGACACGGCCCAAACUCCUACGGGAGGCAGCAGUGGGGAAUAUUGCACAAUGGGCGAAAGCCUGAUGCAGCGACGCCGCGUGAGCGAAGAAGUAUUUCGGUAUGUAAAGCUCUAUCAGCAGGGAAGAUAAUGACGGUACCUGACUAAGAAGCACCGGCUAAAUACGUG